rnacentral:rRNA from 1 species
AGCUUAAAGAGCCGCGGUAUUUUGACCGUGCNAANGUAGCAUAAUCAUUAGUUUUUUAAUUGGAAACUCGUAUGAAUGGUUAAACAAAAGAAUCUCUGUCUUUUUAUCUAAUAUUGAACUUAACUUUUAAGUGAAAAGGCUUAAAUUUUUUAAGGGGACGAUAAGACCCUAUAAAGCUUUAUAAUGAAAUAAUAUUUUUUUGAAUGAAUUUUAUAAAAAAUAAAUAAAAUAACCUUAUUUUGUUGGGGCGACAUAGAUAUAAAUAUAUAAUUUAACUGUCAUAAUAUAAUACAUAAAUAUUUGAAUUAAUAUAGAUGAUCCUUCUUUUAAAGAUUAAAAGACUAAGUUACUUUAGGGAUAACAGCGUUAUUUCUUUUGAGAGUUCUUAUUGAAAAAGAAGUUUGCGACCUCGAUGUUGAAUUAAAAAAUCUUUAUAGUGCAGCCGUUAUAAAAAGAAGGUCUGUUCGACCUUUAAAUUUUUA